rnacentral:rRNA from 1 species
GAUGAACGCUGGCGGCGUGCCUAAUACAUGCAAGUCGAGCGAACAGACGAGAGUGCUUGCACUCUCUGACGUUAGCGGCGGACGGGUGAGUAACACGUGGGUAACCUACCUAUAAGACUGGGAUAACUUCGGGAAACCGGAGCUAAUACCGGAUAAUAUUUAGCUUCGCAUGAAGCAAUAGUGAAAGACGGUUCUGCUGUCACUUAUAGAUGGACCCGCGGUGUAUUAGCUAGUUGGUGAGGUAACGGCUCACCAAGGCAACGAUACAUAGCCGACCUGAGAGGGUGAUCGGCCACACUGGGACUGAGACACGGCCCAGACUCCUACGGGAGGCAGCAGUAGGGAAUCUGCCGCAAUGGACGAAAGUCUGACGGAGCAAUGCCGCGUGAGUGAAGAAGGUUUUCGGAUCGUAAAACUCUGUUGUAAGGGAAGAACAAGUACGUUAGUAACUGAACGUACCUUGACGGUACCUGACCAGAAAGCCACGGCUAACUACGUG